AAGGGUAUAGCCCAGUGGUAGAGUGUGUGCUUAGCAUGCAUGAGGUCCUGGGUUCAAUUCCCCAGUACCUCUA
rnacentral:tRNA from 1 species